rnacentral:rRNA from 1 species
UACGAAGGGGGCUAGCGUUGUUCGGAUUUACUGGGCGUAAAGCGCACGUAGGCGGAUUGUUAAGUCGGGGGUGAAAUCCUGGAGCUCAACUCCAGAACUGCCCUUCGAUACUGGCAAUCUUGAGUCCAGAAGAGGUGAGUGGAACUCCUAGUGUAGAGGUGGAAUUCGUAGAUAUUAGGAAGAACACCAGUGGCGAAGGCGGCUCACUGGUCCGGUACUGACGCUGAGGUGCGAAAGCGUGGGGAGCAAACAGG